rnacentral:rRNA from 1 species
GACGAACGCUGGCGGCGUGCCUAAUACAUGCAAGUCGAACGAACCGCGACUAAGUGCUUGCACUGAGUCAAGGUGAGUGGCGAACGGGUGAGUAACACGUGGGUAACCUACCUCAUAGUGGGGGAUAACAGUCGGAAACGACUGCUAAUACCGCAUAGGACAUGGAAUCACAUGAUUCCGUGAGGAAAGGUGGCGCAAGCUAUCGCUAAGAGAUGGACCCGCGGUGCAUUAGCUAGUUGGUAGGGUAACGGCCUACCAAGGCGAUGAUGCGUAGCCGACCUGAGAGGAUGAUCGGCCACAUUGGGACUGAGACACGGCCCAAACUCCUACGGGAGGCAGCAGUAGGGAAUCUUCCGCAAUGGACGCAAGUCUGACGGAGCAACGCCGCGUGAGUGAAGAAAGGUCUUCGGAUCGUAAAAGCUCUGUUGUUAGAGAAGAACAGCGCA